CCAGUUUGCGUUCCCACCAACAGUGCAAAAGACAUCCUCUCUCUCCGCACCCUCGCCAACAUCUGUUGCUGCCUGAGUUGUUCAUCCCCCUCCCCCGUGGCCUGCUCUGUGGGAUUCAAGGCCCGGCAUCGGACGCAAAUAAACAACCUUCCAGAGACUGCUUAAUCAGCCCCACAUUGUGAAGGUUAAAACCCGGAGACCCAGAAAAGCUACCUGACGUCCCCUCUGCCAUCAGCGUGGUUGGUGUAGGACCUCGUGUAACUUAUUGGGACCACCGUGACCACAUCCACAAAUGGUGUCUGUGCUUGCAUUUCCAGCCACUGUCCUUUGGGCAAGGAUGACUGUGGCUUCGUGUCUACACCCCGUGUACCUGUGAAGGCACUUCGGAAAGGCUGUAAUACCACUCGGGACAAAUGGAAGCUGUCAGAGCCGCAAGGAAAGGAGUGUGGCCAGCACCUGCCUUAUAACUCGGGAGAAGGGGGGAUGAGAAUCCCCGCGGUUUGUGGGCUCGCGGGAUGUGGGGCCGCGCACCACCUCAUUUCUCCCGCCUGGAAUAAUCCACAGGCACUAAAAGCGAGAUACACGCGUGCACUUGGAGAGCUGGUGCAUUUUUGUCCCGCUGAUUUGCGCUUUCUCAUUUUUCACCAUAUACACCAAACAAAUACUACAGACAUUUGAAA